GCCUACGGGAGGCAGCAGUGGGGAAUAUUGCACAAUGGGGGGAACCCUGAUGCAGCGACGCCGCGUGGGUGAAGGAGUAUUUCGGUAUGUAAAGCCCUAUCAGCAGGGAAGAACAAUGACGGUACCUGACUAAGAAGCACCGGCUAAAUACGUGCCAGCAGCCGCGGUAAUACGUAUGGUGCAAGCGUUAUCCGGAUUUAUUGGGUUUAAAGGGUGCGCAGGCGGCACGGCAAGCCGGCGGUCAAAUCGCGGGGCUCAACCCCGCCCAGCCGUCGGAACUGCCGGGCUAGAGUGGGCGAGAAGUG
rnacentral:rRNA from 1 species